UUUGUCUCGGUUUUACCAGACGGGAUUCGGGAGUCUUUCUCUCGGGAUUUUGCAGGACAGGAUUUAUUUUGGGGGGG